AGAGGGCCAAAAGGGGCAUUUUGCUCCUCAACCCAUUAUAGGGGUCUUGAGGAUUCUCCACAGAUUACCUGCAAAAGAGAAAAGUGUGAGAAAGAAAGUUGAGAGAAAACUUGAGAGGGAAAAGUAAAUCGUCAGUCCUCGUCGGAGAAUCACCAACGAAAUUCAUCCUCUAUCGAGACUUACACUCUAGAGCUUCUUCUUAGAGAGAAAAAAGACUCGUGUUGUUGAGGUUGCAUCUUUCGUCAAGAUCCGAGAGAAAUCCUCAAGGGAAGAUCCACCACUGAUUUUGUGAGGAAAUCGGACGAAAUGUUGAGAUCUGAGAAUCUUUCCAAUAACGGAGAAGAGAGAAGGCGACAGCGCGCCACGUGUCAACCGGCAAGAGGUCCGCAUGCGCCAAUAACCACCGG